AUACCUUUCUCGACCUUUUGACUAAGAUAAAGUGUAAUAUUUGUUUUUAUCAGUUUAAUAUUGGAUAUGUAGACCAUAUGUUCACUCUAAUAUUAAUUUUAUUUUUGUAUGUGUAUCAAAUAUGUGUCAUCGCAUCGCACGACGUGGGUCGUGCGAAGCCCGUAGGUCUUUUU
rnacentral:snRNA from 1 species